GCAGCCUAAAAGCCUUCUUCCUUUCAUUUCCCCCUCCGUCGGUUAAGAAUUCCCUCUAGCAGCCACCUUCAGUUACGCUUCUCCUCCGGCAACGCCAUCCCACUUUCUUAAAUCCUCAUCAUCACCGCACCCCCUCUGCCAUCAUCUCCUCACUUCUCAAAUUUUGGGCAUCGGUUAUGAUCACGAACAAACCCUAGCCGGCGACGAGUUCCAUCCUUCAUAUUUCCAGUGCUUUGUCUGCCUUCUAGGUUUGCAAUUAGCGGGGACCCGCUAGGGUUUGCGGUCCACCCAGUGGGGAUGAAUUUGUUUGUUCUACUGCUAAUGGAUGCAAGCUUGUGGAUUGGUGAAGAACCUUGCUCUGAUGGUAUACAUAACAAUAGGAUCAGCUGCGCAUCCAAUUUUGGAGUUUUUGGAGGAGUGGAGUACAGAAAACUUUGAGAUAUGCAUUUUUUAUUCCUUGUGAAUGAAAUAUCUCCAGCUGUUAUUCCUCAAGCAACUAAGAUCUUUGUUAAUGGUUGCUGGAUUGGCGUUCACAGAAAUACUGAACUCCUGGUGAAGACUUUGAGACAAUUAAGGAGACAGAUUUUAAGCAUCAGGAAGGAUCACGAAGCCACGACUAACCCAGGGCCGGUCACGUGCGCUGCAUGGAUUCGGAGGCCAGAGAACCACCUUCUGGUGAUCUACAGGAGGUCGAAGAAUUUCACAUCUCCGUUCAUGAUCGAGAUCUUUUCUUUCAAUGCCAAGACCUCAAUCUCCGAUGAUCCCAUGGUUUUUUUCUCAUUUGUCGCUUGAUUUUUUGUUUUGCAAUUAGCGGGGACCCGUUAGGGUUUGCGGUCCAUCCCAUUGGGGAUGAAUUUGUUUGUCCUACUGCUAAUGGAUGCAAGUGAGUAUUGAAUUUACUUUAAAUGAUGAAAUUUCGUGUGUUAAUUUAUUGAAAUUGAAGUGGUUUUGGUUUUGGUACAACAAUUUGGGGGUUUAGGGUUUCUGGGUGUAGGAAAGUAGAUAUCUCAGUAGUAGACAGUGGAAGGCUGUGAAGUUUUCUGCAUGCUGAACUUAAAGUGAGGUUUGACAUAUGAAACUAAGCUGGCUUGUAAAAGUGGAAGUUUGGAUAUGUAUGGUAGAAAUACAAGCAGAAGAACCCAUGACUUCAAAGUAGAUUGAAACUUUUAUUGGCAAGUUAAAUAUUUUAGAAGUUCCUUCUGUUUUUCCCCUAUAACUUUAAAUUUAAAAUCACUGUAUAGAUAUCAAUAUUCUUUUUAGCUGGCACUAGCAGAAAUGUUUCUCUUUACUGAUAAACUGAAGCUAUACAAGUCUUUCAGCAUCCCCAUGUAUCUAAAUACAUAUUCAGAGAAUACUUGGCUUAUUACUUUUAAAAUGCAUAUGAACUAUUUUUUUGUGAUCUCGACUGCACGCAAACUUUUGUUGAUAAGUCAUUUGCAAGAAGGGAUUCAGCACAUGGAUAUAUCCUCUCAGAUUCUAUUCAACAGGGCAAUGACACACCUUAGUUUAUGUCCUUUGAGGACGGGUCUUAUUGCAGAAGCGCAUGGGUACCUGUCUGAACUUUAUACAUGUGGUAGGGUAAAGAAGCUACUUGCGCAAGGUGUAUCUCAAAAUUGGAUUCAUGAAAAAACUCCUGAGCAGGUACGUGCCACAUUUAUUGCUAAUUUUUUCCUUCACUCAAGCUAAUAUAACUGAUUUAUUAUAUUAACGUCUCUUCCUUAGUAAUUAUCCUUUGCAUAUCAUUUUAAAUCUAUCAUAUUGAACUGAAUGAGUUUUUCUUCAGCUUACAUUUAUCCAUCAAUUAUUUGAAUCUAAAUACAUAUUCAGAGAAUACUUGACUUUAUUACUUUUAAAAUGCAUAUUAACUAUUUUUUGUGAUCUUGACUGCACGCAAACUUUUGUUGAUGAGUCAUUUUCCAAAAGGGAUUCAAGUUAUGGACAUAUCCUCUCAGAUUCUAUUCAACAUGGCAAUGACACAACUUAGUUUAUGUGCCUUGAGGACGGGUCUUAUUGCAUAAGCGCAUGGGUGCCUGUCUGAACUUUAUACAGGUGGUAGGGUGAAGAAGCUACUUGCGCAAGGUGUAUCUCAAAAUCGGUAUCAUGAAAAAACUCCUGAGCAGAGAGAAUAAGAACUUGACUAGGACUGCGAGGUAUGUAAGCAUGAACAUCCACCUUGGUAUAUAACAAAGCAGGAGGGAUGAUCUGGAAUCUCUUGGGUUUGUUCUCACAAAUUUUUUACGAGAAAGUCUUCCCUGGCAAGGUCUAAAACUUGGAACAAAGAAAUAGAAAUAUAAAAAAAUUAGUGAAAGAAAAGUUACCAUCUCAAUAGAGAAGGGAGAACAAGUGGUUGCUUAGCAGAGCCUUCUCGUCACCGUGCAUCGAGACAAGCCGUAAAUGCAGGCAACUUACUAAAAAUAAAUCGCGUAGCAAAUGAUUCAAAAGAAGCUUUGAUCUCAAUCUACGGUAAGCCUAAGGUUGCUUCACUAUAAUUAUUGUGUAACUGCGUGGAAGCAACUACGCUGAUCACUGAGACAAAGUACUUUGGAGGAUAACAGGACAAUUAAGUUUUUAUAUGGUUUCUGCUAAGGAGAUGAUAUGUUGUUCAAUAUCUUUUUAUUCAUAACAUGUCACAGGAAAAUAUCAAUUAAAGCUCA